GUCCUUCAAAGUUCUUCAGUGACAGGUUAGGUGGCAAAACAAACCUGUUCUUAAUAUCAGCUUCCCUACGGCCAAGUCUUGGCGUAUCCACAGUAAGGGCAAUUGCCUUAAAACCAGCCCUUUCUGCUCUUUUCACGAGUUGCAUAACGACAUUCCUGUCUUUAUACACAUAGAGCUGGAAAAAGCGAAUGCCUGGUCCUGUUGAAGCAACCUCU
rnacentral:misc_RNA from 1 species